UGGACCACUGAGGCGAACAUUUAUUAAACUAAGGAUUCUGAUUAAUCCAGUUUUGAGUGUGUCUGCAAUCCAUG
rnacentral:snoRNA from 1 species